UUCGCAAUGCCCGAAAGGGUGACGAAGCGACGCCGCGUGUGGGAAGAAGGCCUUCGGGUUGUAAACCACUGUCGGGAGUUAAGAAAUGCAAGGAUAUGAAUAGUGUCUUUGCUUGACUAAGGCUCCGGAGGAAGCCACGGCUAACUCUGUGCCAGCAGCCGCGGUAAUACAGAGGCGGCAAGCGUUGUUCGGAAUUAUUGGGCGUAAAGAGCACGUAGGCGGCUAUGUAAGUCGGUUGUGAAAGCCUUCCGCUCAACGGAAGAACAGCAUCCGAUACUACAUGGCUUGAGUGCGGGAGGGGAGAGCGGAACUUCUGGUGGAGCGGUGAAAUGCGUAGAUAUCAGAAGGAACGCCGGCGGCGAAAGCGGCUCUCUGGCCCAUAACUGACGCUGAGUGUGCGAAAGCUAGGGGAGCAAACGGGAUUAGAUACCCCGGUAGUCCUAGCCGUAAACGAUGGGCACUAAGUAGAGGGGUUUU
rnacentral:rRNA from 1 species